rnacentral:rRNA from 1 species
GGGUUGUGAGGUUAAGCGACUAAGCGUACACGGUGGAUGCCCUGGCAGUCAGAGGCGAUGAAGGGCGUGCUAAUCUGCGAUAAGCGCCGGUAAGGUGAUAUGAACCGUUAUAACCGGCGAUACCCGAAUGGGGAAACCCAGUGUGACUCGUCACACUAUCAUUAACUGAAUCCAUAGGUUAAUGAGGCGAACCGGGGGAACUGAAACAUCUAAGUACCCCGAGGAAAAGAAAUCAACCGAGAUUCCCCCAGUAGCGGCGAGCGAACGGGGAGGAGCCCAGAGCCUGAAUCAGCAUGUGUGUUAGUGGAAGCGUCUGGAAAGGCGCGCGAUACAGGGUGACAGCCCCGUACACAAAAGCGCAUGUGCUGUGAGCUCGAUGAGUAGGGCGGGACACGUGGUAUCCUGUCUGAAUAUGGGGGGACCAUCCUCCAAGGCUAAAUACUCCUGACUGACCGAUAGUGAACCAGUACCGUGAGGGAAAGGCGAAAAGAACCCCGGCGAGGGGAGUGAAAAAGAACCUGAAACCGUGUACGUACAAGCAGUGGGAGCCCCACCACUAAGCCAGUGGUGAACUCCACAUACGCAUCCUUUGCUGAGGAUACGGUUAACGGAGCGAAAGCGACGUUCAACCGCAAAAGAAGCAGAGGGGGCUUAGUGGUGGGGUGACUGCGUACCUUUUGUAUAAUGGGUCAGCGACUUAUAUUCUGUAGCAAGGUUAACCGCAUAGGGGAGCCGCAGGGAAACCGAGUCUUAAUUGGGCGUUAAGUUGCAGGGUAUAGACCCGAAACCCGGUGAUCUAGCCAUGGGCAGGUUGAAGGUUGGGUAACACUAACUGGAGGACCGAACCGACUAAUGUUGAAAAAUUAGCGGAUGACCUGUGGCUGGGGGUGAAAGGCCAAUCAAACCGGGAGAUAGCUGGUUCUCCCCGAAAGCUAUUUAGGUAGCGCCUCGUGAAUUCAUCUCCGGGGGUAGAGCACUGUUUCGGCUAGGGGGCCAUCCCGGCUUACCAACCCGAUGCAAACUGCGAAUACCGGAGAAUGUUAUCACGGGAGACACACGGCGGGUGCUAACGUCCGUCGUGAAGAGGGAAACAACCCAGACCGCCAGCUAAGGUCCCAAAGUCAUGGUUAAGUGGGAAACGAUGUGGGAAGGCCCAGACAGCCAGGAUGUUGGCUUAGAAGCAGCCAUCAUUUAAAGAAAGCGUAAUAGCUCACUGGUCGAGUCGGCCUGCGCGGAAGAUGUAACGGGGCUAAACCAUGCACCGAAGCUGCGGCAGCGACGCUGAUGCGUUGUUGGGUAGGGGAGCGUUCUGUAAGCCUGUGAAGGUGGCCUGUGAGGGUUGCUGGAGGUAUCAGAAGUGCGAAUGCUGACAUAAGUAACGAUAAAGCGGGUGAAAAGCCCGCUCGCCGGAAGACCAAGGGUUCCUGUCCAACGUUAAUCGGGGCAGGGUGAGUCGACCCCUAAGGCGAGGCCGAAAGGCGUAGUCGAUGGGAAACAGGUUAAUAUUCCUGUACUUGGUGUUACUGCGAAGGGGGGACGGAGAAGGCUAUGUUGGCCGGGCGACGGUUGUCCCGGUUUAAGCGUGUAGGCUGGUUUUCCAGGCAAAUCCGGAAAAUCAAGGCUGAGGCGUGAUGACGAGGCACUACGGUGCUGAAGCAACAAAUGCCCUGCUUCCAGGAAAAGCCUCUAAGCAUCAGGUAACAUCAAAUCGUACCCCAAACCGACACAGGUGGUCAGGUAGAGAAUACCAAGGCGCUUGAGAGAACUCGGGUGAAGGAACUAGGCAAAAUGGUGCCGUAACUUCGGGAGAAGGCACGCUGACAUGUAGGUGAAGUGAUUUACUCACGGAGCUGAAGUCAGUCGAAGAUACCAGCUGGCUGCAACUGUUUAUUAAAAACACAGCACUGUGCAAACACGAAAGUGGACGUAUACGGUGUGACGCCUGCCCGGUGCCGGAAGGUUAAUUGAUGGGGUCAGCGCAAGCGAAGCUCCUGAUCGAAGCCCCGGUAAACGGCGGCCGUAACUAUAACGGUCCUAAGGUAGCGAAAUUCCUUGUCGGGUAAGUUCCGACCUGCACGAAUGGCGUAAUGAUGGCCAGGCUGUCUCCACCCGAGACUCAGUGAAAUUGAACUCGCUGUGAAGAUGCAGUGUACCCGCGGCAAGACGGAAAGACCCCGUGAACCUUUACUAUAGCUUGACACUGAACAUUGAGCCUUGAUGUGUAGGAUAGGUGGGAGGCUUUGAAGUGUGGACGCCAGUCUGCAUGGAGCCGACCUUGAAAUACCACCCUUUAAUGUUUGAUGUUCUAACGUGGACCCGUAAUCCGGGUUGCGGACAGUGUCUGGUGGGUAGUUUGACUGGGGCGGUCUCCUCCUAAAGAGUAACGGAGGAGCACGAAGGUUGGCUAAUCCUGGUCGGACAUCAGGAGGUUAGUGCAAUGGCAUAAGCCAGCUUGACUGCGAGCGUGACGGCGCGAGCAGGUGCGAAAGCAGGUCAUAGUGAUCCGGUGGUUCUGAAUGGAAGGGCCAUCGCUCAACGGAUAAAAGGUACUCCGGGGAUAACAGGCUGAUACCGCCCAAGAGUUCAUAUCGACGGCGGUGUUUGGCACCUCGAUGUCGGCUCAUCACAUCCUGGGGCUGAAGUAGGUCCCAAGGGUAUGGCUGUUCGCCAUUUAAAGUGGUACGCGAGCUGGGUUUAGAACGUCGUGAGACAGUUCGGUCCCUAUCUGCCGUGGGCGCUGGAGAACUGAGGGGGGCUGCUCCUAGUACGAGAGGACCGGAGUGGACGCAUCACUGGUGUUCGGGUUGUCAUGCCAAUGGCACUGCCCGGUAGCUAAAUGCGGAAGAGAUAAGUGCUGAAAGCAUCUAAGCACGAAACUUGCCCCGAGAUGAGUUCUCCCUGAGACUUAGAGUCUCCUGAAGGAACGUUGAAGACGACGACGUUGAUAGGCCGGGUGUGUAAGCGCAGCGAUGCGUUGAGCUAACCGGUACUAAUGAACCGUGAGGCUUAACCUUACAACGCCGAAG